rnacentral:rRNA from 1 species
AACGAACGCUGGCGGCAGGCUUAACACAUGCAAGUCGAACGCACCUUUCGGGGUGAGUGGCCGACGGGUGAGUAACGCGUGGGAAUCUACCCUUCUCUACGGGAUAGCUCCGGGAAACUGGAAUUAAUACCGUAUACGUCCUGAGGGAGAAAGAUUUAUCGGGGAAGGAUGAGCCCGCGUUGGAUUAGCUAGUUGGUGGGGUAAAGGCCUACCAAGGCGACGAUCCAUAGCUGGUCUAAGGGGAUGAUCAGCCACAUUGGGACUGAGACACGGCCCAAACGCCGACGCGAGGCGGGAGUGGGGGAUAGUGGAAAAUGGGAGAAAGGCUGAUGGAGUGAUGCCGGGAGAAGGAUGAAGGCCGUAAAGUAGAAAAGCGCUGGCGACUAGGACCAUCAUGACGGUACCUAAGAAAAAAGCCACGGCUAACUACGUG